UACAGAGGUCUCAAGCGUUGUCCGGAAUCAUUGGGCGUAAAGCGCGCGUAGGCGGCCCUGUAAGUCCGUUGUGAAAGUCAAAGGCUCAACCUUUGAAAGCCGAUGGAUACUGCAGGGCUCGAGUUCGGAAGAGGCGAGUGGAAUUCCUGGUGUAGCGGUGGAAUGCGCAGAUAUCAGGAGGAACACCAAUAGCGAAGGCAGCUCGCUGGGACGAUACUGACGCUAAGGCGCGAAAGCGUGGGGAGCGAACAGG
rnacentral:rRNA from 1 species